rnacentral:rRNA from 1 species
CCUACGGGAGGCAGCAGUGGGGAAUAUUGCACAAUGGGCGCAAGCCUGAUGCAGCCAUGCCGCGUGUGUGAAGAAGGCCUUCGGGUUGUAAAGCACUUUCAGCGGGGAGGAAGGCGUUAGGGUUAAUAACCUUGGCGAUUGACGUUACCCGCAGAAGAAGCACCGGCUAACUCCGUGCCAGCAGCCGCGGUAAUAUGGAGGGUGCAAGCGUUAAUCGGAAUUACUGGGCGUAAAGCGCACGCAGGCGGUCUGUCAAGUCGGAUGUGAAAUCCCCGGGCUCAACCUGGGAACUGCAUUCGAAACUGGCAGGCUAGAGUCUUGUAGAGGGGGGUAGAAUUCCAGGUGUAGCGGUGAAAUGCGUAGAGAUCUGGGGGAAUACCGGUGGCGAAGGCGGCCCCCUGGACAAAGACUGACGCUCAGGUGCGAAAGCGUGGGGAGCAAACAGGAUUAGAUACCCUAGUAGUC